GCAUCGGUGGUGUAAUGGUCAGCAUAGUUGCCUACCAAGCAGGCAAAUACAAUCAGUUGAUCCGGGUUUGAUUCCCGGACGAUGCA
rnacentral:tRNA from 1 species